rnacentral:rRNA from 1 species
CCUACGGGAGGCAGCAGUGGGGAAUAUUGCACAAUGGGGGAAACCCUGAUGCAGCGACGCCGCGUGAGUGAAGAAGUUUUUCGGUAUGUAAAGCUCUAUUCGCAGGGAAGAAAUAGCUACCGUUCGGUCGCCAGACGGCACCUGCUUACGACGCCCCGGCUACCUACGUGCCAGCAGCGGCGGUAAUACGUAGGGGGCAAGCGUUGUCCGGAUUGACUGGGGGUAAAGGUAGCGUAUACGGCAGCGCAAGUCUGAAGUGAAAUGCCGGGGCUUAACCCCGGAACUGCUUUUGAAACUGUGGAGCUAGAGUGCAGGAGAGGUAAGCGGAAUUCCUAGUGUAGCGGUGAAAUGCGUAGAUAUUAGGAGGAACACCAGUGGCGAAGGCGGCUUACUGGACUGUAACUGACGUUGAGGCUCGAAAGCGUGGGGAGCAAACAGGAUUAGAUACCCUAGUAGUC